UCCAAUGUGGUGUAGUGGCUAACAUUGCUGUCUUUCAGGUCACAUAGUGAUGCUAAUUCCACUGUAGAUUUGCACAGCAGCCCGGGGUUCGAUUCCCCGCAUUGGAA